UACGAAGGGGGCUAGCGUUGCUCGGAAUCACUGGGCGUAAAGGGUGCGUAGGCGGGUCUUUAAGUCAGGGGUGAAAUCCUGGAGCUCAACUCCAGAACUGCCUUUGAUACUGAGGAUCUUGAGUACGGGAGAGGUGAGUGGAAUUGAGUGUAGAGGUGAAAUUCGUAGAUAUUCGCAAGAACACCAGUGGCGAAGGCGGCUCACUGGCCCGUAACUGACGCUGAGACGCGAAAGCGUGGGGAGCGAACAGG
rnacentral:rRNA from 1 species